AGGCGAGUAGCUCAACUGGCAGAGCAACGGUCUCCAAAACCGUAGGUUGCGGGUUCAAGUCCUGCCUCGCCUGC
rnacentral:tRNA from 1 species